GACCCUCCAACAGUUUUGUCUUAUUGAAACUUCCAUUUGGAAAUACUACAUCCAACAGCAAAAUAUUAGGGGGAAAAAUCAACUAUGUUUCCUUUUACUUCUCAAGUUAGGUAGAGGUUCAACCAUUGAGAUCAACGUUGUCACCCUUCUUCAUCACCAUCAUCAUCUAAGCUUUAUCCCAAUUAAUUGGGGUCAGUUACAAGAAUCCUAUUCCGCCAUUCCACUCUAUCAAGGGCCAUACCUUCAGCAACAUUUUAUUUUCCUAACUUAAUCCCAAUUGAAAUUUCAUGUAUUUGAACUGUGAAAAAAUCUGUCUCCAUGAACUCUCUACCCUUCUCUCUUUUGGCUAUAACUAUUUUGUUAAUGGCUGGUUAACCUUUGAACUUGUUGCAGAUGAAGAUGAGCUUUAUAUGAUUUCACUAGAUGGGCAACUAUUCUGAAAUCUUUAAUAUGGCGUUCAUACUUCAUAGUUUCUCUUGUCAAACUUGUUCAAGCAAAUUGGUUAGGCGGAUCAUUAGUGGUUCCCUGGAAGCAUUUGAUGAGGAGUUGGCUUUCCCUUUCACCAAUGGAAUGUCUUCGAACCUGAAUUUUCAAAGAUAAUGGGUCUGAACUGUCCUUUCAGAGUCAAAGCAGGCCUUGCAAACAAGUUCAUAGACAAAGCUCUCGAGUUCAAACCAAAGCUUCUCAUUCUUAUCAUUCCAAAAGAAACAGAAAGGUUAUUGGAGCUUGGGGAUUGGGCUGGGAAAUUUUGAUGGAUGGGAUGGAGGUUACACAAUUCACAUGCUUCCAGCAGGUAUCGUAAAUCUUUUUAUAAAUUUUUUGUGUUUUGUGAGAGAUCUAAGCUGUGAAUCAGAUAGAAUCUAUUUGCGAAGAUCACCUGGCACAAAAGUCAGGUAGGUUCAUUCAUCUGGCAGCCACAUUGAGGUUAAGUGGAUGCAUUUUAUCUAUGUUUAAGUGAAUUUUAUGUUCAAAACCAAGAUUUGCUUGAUACAGGAUGG